rnacentral:rRNA from 1 species
UACGUAGGGGGCAAGCGUUAUCCGGAUUUACUGGGUGUAAAGGGAGCGUAGACGGUUAAUCAAGUCUGAAGUGAAAGCCCGCGGCUCAACUGCGGAACGGCUUUGGAAACUGAGUAACUGGAGUGCUGGAGGGGCAGGCGGAAUUCCUGGUGUAGCGGUGAAAUGCGUAGAUAUCACGCAGAACUCCGAUUGCGAAGGCAGCAUACCGGCGCCCGACUGACGCUGAAGCACGAAAGCGUGGGUAUCGAACAGG